rnacentral:tRNA from 1 species
GGUAGGGUGGCCGAGGCAGGUGGCGGAUUGUAGCUCCGAAGACGGGGGUUUGACUCCUCCUCCUACCA